rnacentral:rRNA from 1 species
UACGUAGGGUGCAAGCGUUGUCCGGAAUUAUUGGGCGUAAAGAGCUCGUAGGCGGUCUGUCACGUCGGCUGUGAAAACCCGAGGCUCAACCUCGGGCCUGCAGUCGAUACGGGCAAACUAGAGUACUGCAGGGGAGACUGGAAUUCCUGGUGUAGCGGUGGAAUGCGCAGAUAUCAGGAGGAACACCGGUGGCGAAGGCGGGUCUCUGGACAGUUCCUGACACUGAGACACGAAAGCGUGGGUAGCAAACAGG